rnacentral:piRNA from 1 species
UGGAAAUGUGGUUUGGAUGGGAUAAGCAAC